AUGACAGAGUUGAAUGCACAUAAAGCGACACUACUGCUGAGAAGGGCCGGGUGCUCCUCAGCAGUGUUGCUGCUCCCAGGCCUGUUGAAGGUACUGCUGAACCUUUCCCAGGAACUUGUCUCUGCAUGCUGUGAAGACAACACGCUCUCUGCUGUUUGGAUUAAUGCUACAAGGACCAUGGGAGUUGCUCUUCUGCAGCGCAGGAUUGACUUCUGUAAGAGGAAUCAUUGCGGGGACAGGAUUCAUUCACGAUCCAUAUCCUUCUCCUCUUCACUGGGACAGCGGUUGGCAGCCAGGGGUUGGCAGAUGCUUAUCAAAAUGUCUAUUACUAAACAAAAACUGGCUUUUAGUCUACAUGUGUUUCUAGCUAAUAAGGAACUACCUGUUUGUAUCCUUUCCCCAGAUAAUGCGAAGUUGGUUUAUUUUUCCCAAUUAAUGCAUAGUUCUUUGGAUUAA
rnacentral:lncRNA from 1 species